rnacentral:lncRNA from 1 species
AAUUACAGAGCAUAUCGCUACCCUAAGGGAAGUUUUAAGAACCUGAGCUUGAGUUGUGAAGAAUUUAUUUCUGGUUGCAAUUAAAUAAACACAUGUUGCUGAGGAGUGUAGGAGCCACUCCUCCAUUUGAUGCAUUUUUCAGGCAGCACCUUUUCACUCUUAAGAAUAAGCUGCUUCUGGUGGUGGUCAGCUGGUGACAUUUCCCUGAACUGUGCACUUCAGAGGAGUCCUGUCACUUCAUCUCUGCCGAAAAUGAAACCUGCCUCCGGACUCUCUCGUGAUUUCACUUGUUUAAAUAAUAGAAGCAUGCGUCUGCAGGAAGACCAAGAGCAGGAUUUGGAAGUCCCUGCCUUCCUUGGCCACCUAGCAGCCACAAUGGCUCUCCACCACUUCCUAUACUAUAUAAAGCAGAUCAGCAAUGGAGGGGGAGUUUGGAUUCCGGGAGUCUUCAUAUUUUUCAUCAUAUAUACACAGGCCCAAGCCCGGACAGCGCCGUCACUCCAGCACACACUUGGGAUGACCGAGGCUGCGAACGAUCGGAUCCUUAAGUGCCGCUGCCUCCCAAGUGCUGGGAUUAAAGGCGUGCACCAUCCCCACCGGCCAGAAAACUGCCUUUAAGUGAGCAUAACUGUUAUGAAAUCGAGCAUACACUUGCUGACUCACACAGUGAAGAGAUGGGUGUUGCCAUUGUCACAUAAUGGUGUUUAUGUCAUGCUCUACUCUGAGCCCACUCUGCAAAUGUGUCUUCUACAGGGGUCCGGUGUUCCCAACUGUAGCCAUGUUCCUUUCUUGUUUUCUUGCCUACACAACAACCUUUCUCCCAGCUGUCUCCAAUGCUGACCUAGGGUAAUGUUGCCACAUGGGCUUGGCUCAGGGGGAGGUACAGCAGAGGACCACACACAGUGCACAGGCACACAGAUACUAUACAGCGUAUUUUGGGUGGAAAUAAGGCACUUAGAGUCCUCCAAAAGCUAAUUGUUUUCUGUGAUGAACUGGUCACUCAGAUCAAAGAAGACUGGCCAGUCUGGCUCUUGGAUAGUUCACUGUCAAACUGCUUGUCCAAAGGGAAG